UCAUCAAUAGGCAAUAACUUAACCAAAUACCAAACUCUGCAAAUUCCUCUUGUAGAAUUUCAUCAGUGAAAUUUUUUUUCCUUUUUGUGUAUGUUUUCUUGCGAGAGCUUUAUUAUUUAUAUAGUGCUAAUCUAUAUAAUUUCGCUUGCAUAAUCUCUCGGCAUCUACAAUUCUAUGGGUUUAUGGUGUGCUGCAAGCAAAGUAAGGUUCUAAAUUUUGCUGCCACAAAGAUGCAGACAAAACUUUCCUUGAGCCGAGACCCGAGGGUAUAUUGGAAACAGCCUCUCUACCUUCACAACGUGUGGAUAAGGUGUGUUUACCCUCCCCCAGACCCCACUUGUGGGAUACUGGGUAUGUUGUUGUUGUAGAGAAGCAGACAAAAGGGAGUUCUUUUAUGCUCUUCAUCAACUUGAGCAAGUUUUCUGUUCAUUCUCUUUUUGAUGUGAUAUGCUUCAGCUUUACCUUAGGAGGUUUAGUUUGAUAUAUUUGCGGCUGAAAGAAUCCAAUUUUUUUUAUAACCAUUUUGGGGAUUUGGAAUUUGGUAAGCCCUUAAAUUUUUGUCCAACUCUGGGAUCAAGAAAUUGAUGGAGAAGACUCAGGAAAAAGCUACUCCUACUAAUUAAAGCAAUUCUACAAAUGCAUUAGCAUGUACUUUAUUGGCAAUUUCUUUGGUUUCUCUGAAUGAUUUAUCUGCAUUUGUUAUUUUGCUACCUUCCUCCUCUUCCCUGCUAAACUCCUCUGAACAAACAUGCUAAAAAUUGAACAUAUCAUGUGGUAUAGAAAGCCUAUCUAUUGUUUAGGAGCCCAGUCCAGCUAGUAUACGCUUAUCUUCUUGGUUCGGGUUCCUUAUGAUCAGGGGCGGACCCAAGUGGUGAGAAGUGGGUUCAACUGAACCCGCUUCGUCAAAAAAUAAUACUGUGUAUAUGUAUAAAUUAUGGCUAAAGCAAGGUAAAUUUUGUAUAGAAAUUAUUUUUGAACCCGCUUAUACAGCUUAUACCGCUUAUGUUAGUUAUGGACUUCUCCGACUGAACCCGCUUGCACAAAAUCCUGGGUCCGCCACUGCUUAUGAUUCAGUGCUGUUGGUUAUAUUCAUAAGAAUUAAGAUCUACUAAUUUCCAAGUAUUGCCUAGCAUGUUCCAUUUAGGAAUGCUUAACUAAUUGUUUCAAAUGAAUGUUAUAAAGAAACAAGGUGCUUCUUUGUGGUAAUAGCUUUAUUUAGAAUCAACCCACAGACUAACAUAUCAGUGUAGUUUCUAUCAAUGAGUUCUACGACUGCUUUAAUAGAUGUUUGUUUUCUCUAUCUUGUGAAUUUCUAUGUUUAUAACAUCGAAGAAAAUGCCUGGACCAGGAAGCAGUCAAACUCCACCCAAGGGUAUUGUUUAUACUUUCUUUCUUCCGCUUAUUAAUGCUUUCGCUUGUUUGACACUAUUGCAAUCUGAAUUUACAAUCAGUAUGGUUGUGAAGAGCAAAAGGAUAUGAUUUAAGUCGAUCAUCCCCAGGCUCAGCUUAUGUUAAUUCUACAGCUGAACCUCACCUAUGAAAGAGAUAACUGAUAACAUUGUUGGUUCAAAAAGGAAUGGAAGGAUGAUCUAAGAUUUGCCAAUGGCUCCAACUUAUCAAGGUAUUUAUUUUGACAAUAAAACAUACUUCACAAGAAGAUCACAAACAACCGCCUUAUAAUCGCUUAUUACAUAGUGCAAACUUGUGUUUAAUUAUAAUAAGAGGAGGGAUAUAUUAAUUGGUCAGUUUUAGCUCCAAAGUUCUAAGAUGAUAUAGGAUUAUAGACAUCAGGUACAGUAGGUUCCUUAUUUUCAAAUUUUUGUUUAGAUCUCUUGGUUCCUUGCCAUCUUGAUAUAAAUAACGAGUAUAUUCUUUGUAAAACAAAUGACUGGCGAGCUUUAGGCAUUUUAAACUAAAGGAUGGUCAGUUUGUACUUCCUUUACAGCACUCUUGUUUAGUGAUUAUUAUCACUGAGUCACUAGAUGUCACAGGUGAGCUUUCUUUGUAUGCGUUUAUUUUUUAUAUAUUUUUGUAUAAACCACAAUCGAGCUUUGGUACAGAGAAAAUGCAGCUAAGUGAAAUCAGCUUUUGCAUUUGGGCAGCAUGGAGGCCACCUUUAGGUGGUUGGAUAGCGCAUAUGAUACUGCUCAGACUGUGGCCAACCUUUGUAUGCAGGCUCCACAAGCUUCUGAAAGGGAUGACGAUUUAAUGACCUAUACUUCUUGCCAUAUUAUAGUGAAAUAGGCCUGUGGACUAGAAUCAGGCUUGGUAUGCGUCUUUGUCUUCAGUACAUGCCUGUUUAUGAUCACUCGAUACUAGUGAUGUAAAAUGAGAGUUCAGUUUACUAAUAAAGCAGUUGCUAGUAACUUCAGCUGUGGUUAUUGUUGCUCUGUGCAUAGAAUUCCAUGCCCGUCUCUGGUUAAUUACUUGUAGAUAUGCUACUACGAAAGAAAGAUGCCGUUGUUGAAAGCAGUAGUCCCUUGUCCUUAUUGUAUAUCCUAUAUCAAGUGUUUGAUUAAAUGUAUUUGAGCUUUCUAGAAUGAAGCAACUAAUUUAAGGGAUUUGCUAACUUGACACAGGAUUUCUGCUAUGAGUUAUUGCAGUUGCUGGUUAUUUAUAAUUUGCACUUGAAGCGGUUUGCCGAUUUUACUUUCAGUUCAAGUCACCCAGAUAUAACCAGGAUAAAACUGGAGCCAGUGAUGGGAAGUGAAUCUUAGGCUUGCUAUCGGAGUUUAUCAAAAUUAUUCUGCUCUGAUGAUUGGAACUCAGCCAAAAAGAGGGGAAGAAGAAGAAGAGAAUAUGCAAGAGAGGGAGAAAGAGGAAUCGUUGGGACAGAGUACAUAUGCCUAAUGGCCGGUAGAAAAACAGGGGACAAAUCAACCUCAAUUUGUCAAUCACUAGCUAAAUUAACUCCAGCAUCAUUGAAGAAAUGUUUCUCAGUAAGUAACGAUGUUCGGUAACAUGUCCUGUGAGUAUUCAAAAGUUAAAAAGUUGAUGUCUUAUGCUUGUGCCCCGUGAAGUCUUCAGCAAUAGAAUCUAAAGCUUAGAAUUAAUAUUUAAAAACCUUUGGAGGGUGAGAAGGUGGUUUUUUUUCUUUUUGCUUCUUUAACAAUUUUGGAUUAAGACACCCUUAGUAUUAUUAGGUGACACUACACUAUUGAGCUACUACUUUUUUACUAUUGAUGUUGGAAC